GGCGGGGUAGCUCAGACGGUCAGAGCGAGCGACUCAUAACCGCUAGGUCGUGGGUUCGAUCCCCACCCCCGCCACCU
rnacentral:tRNA from 1 species